GACAGAGGGUGCAAACGUUGCUCGGAAUUACUGGGCGUAAAGCGCGUGUAGGCGGGCCGGAAAGUCGGGCGUGAAAGCCCUGGGCUCAACCCAGGAACUGCACUCGAAACUUCCGGUCUAGAGUGGUGGAGAGGGAAGUGGAAUUCCUGGUGUAGAGGUGAAAUUCGUAGAUAUCAGGAGGAACACCAGUGGCGAAGGCGGCUUCCUGGACACCAACUGACGCUGAGACGCGAAAGCGUGGGGAGCAAACAGG
rnacentral:rRNA from 1 species